CACGCCGUAAACGAUGAGCACUAGGUGUCGGGGCCGCAAGGUCUCGGUGCCGUAGUUAACGCAUUAAGUGCUCCGCCUGGGGAGUACGCACGCAAGUGUGAAACUCAAAGGAAUUGACGGGGACCCGCACAAGCAGCGGAGCAUGUGGUUUAAUUCGAAGCAACGCGAAGAACCUUACCAGGACUUGACAUCCCUCUGACAGACCCUUAACCGGGUUCUUCUUCGGACAGAGGAGACAGGUGG
rnacentral:rRNA from 1 species